rnacentral:rRNA from 1 species
UAAGCGACUAAGCGUACACGGUGGAUGCCCUGGCAGUCAGAGGCGAUGAAGGACGUGCUAAUCUGAGAUAAGCGUCGGUAAGGUGAUAUGAACCGUUAUAACCGGCGAUUUCCGAAUGGGGGAAACCCAGUGUGAUUCGUCACACUAUCAUUAACUGAAUCCAUAGGUUAAUGAGGCGAACCGGGGGAACUGAAACAUCUAAGUACCCCGAGGAAAAGAAAUCAACCGAGAUUCCCCCAGUAGCGGCGAGCGAACGGGGAGCAGCCCAGAGCCUGAAUCAGUGUGUGUGUUAGUGGAAGCGUCUGGAUAGGCGUGCGAUACAGGGUGACAGCCCCGUACACAAAAAUGCACAUAUUGUGAGCUCGAUGAGUAGGGCGGGACACGUGGUAUCCUGUCUGAAUAUGGGGGGACCAUCCUCCAAGGCUAAAUACUCCUGACUGACCGAUAGUGAACCAGUACCGUGAGGGAAAGGCGAAAAGAACCCCGGCGAGGGGAGUGAAAAAGAACCUGAAACCGUGUACGUACAAGCAGUGGGAGCACGCUUAGGCGUGUGACUGCGUACCUUUUGUAUAAUGGGUCAGCGACUUAUAUUCUGUAGCAAGGUUAACCGAAUAGGGGAGCCGAAGGGAAACCGAGUCUUAACUGGGCGUUAAGUUGCAGGGUAUAGACCCGAAACCCGGUGAUCUAGCCAUGGGCAGGUUGAAGGUUGGGUAACACUAACUGGAGGACCGAACCGACUAAUGUUGAAAAAUUAGCGGAUGACUUGUGGCUGGGGGUGAAAGGCCAAUCAAACCGGGAGAUAGCUGGUUCUCCCCGAAAGCUAUUUAGGUAGCGCCUCGUGAAUUCAUCUCCGGGGGUAGAGCACUGUUUCGGCAAGGGGGUCAUCCCGACUUACCAACCCGAUGCAAACUGCGAAUACCGGAGAAUGUUAUCACGGGAGACACACGGCGGGUGCUAACGUCCGUCGUGAAGAGGGAAACAACCCAGACCGCCAGCUAAGGUCCCAAAGUCAUGGUUAAGUGGGAAACGAUGUGGGAAGGCCCAGACAGCCAGGAUGUUGGCUUAGAAGCAGCCAUCAUUUAAAGAAAGCGUAAUAGCUCACUGGUCGAGUCGGCCUGCGCGGAAGAUGUAACGGGGCUAAACCAUGCACCGAAGCUGCGGCAGCGACACUAUGUGUUGUUGGGUAGGGGAGCGUUCUGUAAGCCUGUGAAGGUGUACUGUGAGGUAUGCUGGAGGUAUCAGAAGUGCGAAUGCUGACAUAAGUAACGAUAAAGCGGGUGAAAAGCCCGCUCGCCGGAAGACCAAGGGUUCCUGUCCAACGUUAAUCGGGGCAGGGUGAGUCGACUCCUAAGGCGAGGCCGAAAGGCGUAGUCGAUGGGAAACAGGUUAAUAUUCCUGUACUUGGUGUUACUGCGAAGGGGGGACGGAGAAGGCUAUGUUGGCCGGGCGACGGUUGUCCCGGUUUAAGCGUGUAGGCUGGUUUUCCAGGCAAAUCCGGAAAACUAAGGCUGAGGCGUGAUGACGAGGCACUACGGUGCUGAAGCAACAAAUGCCCUGCUUCCAGGAAAAGCCUCUAAGCAUCAGGUAACAUCAAAUCGUACCCCAAACCGACACAGGUGGUCAGGUAGAGAAUACCAAGGCGCUUGAGAGAACUCGGGUGAAGGAACUAGGCAAAAUGGUGCCGUAACUUCGGGAGAAGGCACGCUGAUAUGUAGGUGAAGUCCCUCGCGGAUGGAGCUGAAAUCAGUCGAAGAUACCAGCUGGCUGCAACUGUUUAUUAAAAACACAGCACUGUGCAAACACGAAAGUGGACGUAUACGGUGUGACGCCUGCCCGGUGCCGGAAGGUUAAUUGAUGGGGUCAGCGCAAGCGAAGCUCUUGAUCGAAGCCCCGGUAAACGGCGGCCGUAACUAUAACGGUCCUAAGGUAGCGAAAUUCCUUGUCGGGUAAGUUCCGACCUGCACGAAUGGCGUAAUGAUGGCCAGGCUGUCUCCACCCGAGACUCAGUGAAAUUGAACUCGCUGUGAAGAUGCAGUGUACCCGCGGCAAGACGGAAAGACCCCGUGAACCUUUACUAUGGCUUGACACUGAACAUUGAGCCUUGAUGUGUAGGAUAGGUGGGAGGCUUUGAAGUGUGGACGCCAGUCUGCAUGGAGCCGACCUUGAAAUACCACCCUUUAAUGUUUGAUGUUCUAACGUUGACCCGUAAUCCGGGUUGCGGACAGUGUCUGGUGGGUAGUUUGACUGGGGCGGUCUCCUCCUAAAGAGUAACGGAGGAGCACGAAGGUUGGCUAAUCCUGGUCGGACAUCAGGAGGUUAGUGCAAUGGCAUAAGCCAGCUUGACUGCGAGCGUGACGGCGCGAGCAGGUGCGAAAGCAGGUCAUAGUGAUCCGGUGGUUCUGAAUGGAAGGGCCAUCGCUCAACGGAUAAAAGGUACUCCGGGGAUAACAGGCUGAUACCGCCCAAGAGUUCAUAUCGACGGCGGUGUUUGGCACCUCGAUGUCGGCUCAUCACAUCCUGGGGCUGAAGUAGGUCCCAAGGGUAUGGCUGUUCGCCAUUUAAAGUGGUACGCGAGCUGGGUUUAGAACGUCGUGAGACAGUUCGGUCCCUAUCUGCCGUGGGCGCUGGAGAACUGAGGGGGGCUGCUCCUAGUACGAGAGGACCGGAGUGGACGCAUCACUGGUGUUCGGGUUGUCAUGCCAAUGGCACUGCCCGGUAGCUAAAUGCGGAAGAGAUAAGUGCUGAAAGCAUCUAAGCACGAAACUUGCCCCGAGAUGAGUUCUCCCUGACUCCUUGAGAGUCCUGAAGGAACGUUGAAGACGACGACGUUGAUAGGCCGGGUGUGUAAGCGCAGCGAUGCGUUGAGCUAACCGGUACUAAUGAACCGUGAGGCUUAACCU